rnacentral:ncRNA from 10 species
ACUGCAGUGAAGGCACUUGUAG